UACGUAGGGGGCAACCGUUAUCCGGAUUCACUGGGUGUAAAGGGAGCGUAGACGGCCAUGCAAGCCUGGAGUGAAAGCCCGGGGCCCAACCCCGGGACUGCUCUGGGAACUGUGCGGCUGGAGUGCGGGAGGGGCAGGCGGAAUUCCUGGUGUAGCGGUGAAAUGCGUAGAUAUCAGGAGGAACACCGGCGGCGAAGGCGGCCUGCUGGACCGCGACUGACGUUGAGGCUCGAAAGCGUGGGGAGCAAACAGG
rnacentral:rRNA from 1 species